CCUACGGGAGGCAGCAGUGGGGAAUUUUGGACAAUGGGGGCAACCCUGAUCCAGCCAUUCCGCGUGAGUGAAGAAGGCCUUCGGGUUGUAAAGCUCUUUCAGCUGGAACGAAACGGUACGCUCUAACAUAGCGUGCUAAUGACGGUACCAGCAGAAGAAGCACCGGCUAACUACGUGCCAGCAGCCGCGGUAAUACGAACCGUACGAACGUUAUUCGGAUUCACUGGGCUUAAGGCGUGCGUAGGCGGCUGGGAAAGUUGGGUGUGAAAUCCCUCGGCUCAACCGAGGAAUUGCGCUCAAAACUACCUGGCUUGAGGAAGAUAGAGGUGAGCGGAACUAAUGGUGGAGCGGUGAAAUGCGUAGAUAUCGGGAGGAACACCUGUGGCGAAAGCGGCCUCCUGGGCCGUUCCUGACGCUCAGACGCGAAAGCAUGGGUAGCGAACGGGAUUAGAAACCCCGGUAGUCCAUGCUGUAAACGAUGCGAACUUGGCGUUGGCGGUGUAAAAACCGUCAGUGCCGAAGCCAACGCGAUAAGUUCGCCGCCUGGGGACUACGGUCGCAAGGUUAAAACUCAAAGGAAUUGACGG
rnacentral:rRNA from 1 species